UACGGGGGGUGCGAGCGUUGUCCGGAAUCACUGGGCGUAAAGGGCGCGUAGGUGGUUUGAUAAGGGUGUGGUGAAAGUCCGGGGCUCAACCCCGGAUCUGCCGUGCCGACUGUCAAACUCGAGGGCUGUAGAGGCAGACGGAAUUCCGGGUGUAGCGGUGGAAUGCGUAGAGAUCCGGAGGAAGACCGGUGGCGAAGGCGGUCUGCUGGGCAGUUUCUGACACUGAGGCGCGACAGCGUGGGGAGCAGACAGG
rnacentral:rRNA from 1 species